CCCCUCCCCCCGCCCCGCCUCGCGCCUUCCCGCUGCCUCGGCGUCCGCGAGUGGCUUUUGGGGGUCCCUCGCCCUCUGUGAGGGUGGUGGGCGCGCAUUUCUCCCCUACCCCCCUCCAACGACGCCCCCCGCCCAGCCUGUGGAGCCCUCGAUGCGCGGUCCUCACGCCUCCAUUCCCAAACCCCGCCGCACAGACGAACGCGCAGCCCCGCGGGGGUGUACAGGGGGUCGUGCGGGGGGGGGGUCUUCUGUGAGGGAGGGCUGCACCCCAGUGUGCUGACGCGCGAAGCCAGGAGGAAAAAUUAUUUCCCCUGGAGCCCGCGUUCAUUCAGCCUGCUCUCGCCUCUGCGCAAUUGCUUUCUCUGUUCACUGGACGGCGGCUGAAGAGCCCCAAGCGUGAACUCGGCCUGGGCAGUGGUGGCUCGGAAACCCUUGGCCUUUUGCAUGAAGGGGGUAGGGUGGGGGCAGGGCGCGGACAAAACCAAACAAACCCGGGAGCUCCGGGCCCAAGCCGACUUUUGCACCUCCCGGAGGAGCACGCCCUCCGGCCCCGGGCCCCGGCUCGUCGGUAGCCUCCCGGGACCACGGGGACGGCUCCACCCCAGGGCAGCCGCGUCCAGCUGGCCCUGGGCCUUGACGGGUGCUGCGGGGAAAAGGUUCUUGAGAGAUGCUGCGGCCCGGUAGAGAGAUUUAGCUCCACUUUUCACAGCUGGAGGCUUUUGUUAUUAGAGAUGCGGCUCCAUUUUUAAAACUAAUUGUUGCCACAGAUAGGCGACUACAUCUCUGGAAGCAGCAGCUCCAUGCUGGAUGUGGUGGAAGAAUCGAGCUGGUUAUCACACUUUAGAAAACCAUGGGCCCAAUGACUGUCUCAAAAGGAACACAGACCUUUGGCAUCAUUGUACCGGUGAGAAGAAACAUUAGAAGCAGUCAAGAGACCAGCAAGUGGGUCCUCUAGGGAUGAGGAGGCAUCUGAAUAGACUGGGUUGUACUCCUAUGUUCUGACUGCAACCCAUCCAUGGAGUCAAGUGUGGAAUUUUCCAUUUGUGGUGUCAUGUCAGCACUCCAAAAGUUUCAGAUUUUGGAGCACUUUGAAUUUCAGAUUUUCAGAUUAGGAAUGCUCAACCUGCAUUAUUAUGAAUAAAGAGGAACAUUACAUAAUUAAAAUGUGUAACUCAUUAAAGAGGUAAUAAUCCUAAAUGUGUGUGCACCUAACAACAGGGCUUCAAAAUAUAUGAAACAAAAGCUAAAAGAACUAAAGGAAAAAUAAAGAAAUCUGCAUUUAUACAUGUAAACAUCAACACUUCUUUCUCAGAAAUCAAUAGAAGAAUUUAAUUAAAAAUUAGUAGGAUAUAAGAGAACAAUACUAUCAAUUAAGUUGACCAUAUUAGCUUUUUUUUUAACAACAUUUUACCCAACAUCAACAGACUACACAAUCUUUCCAAAUGUACAUGGGACAUUAACCAAAAUAGACCAUACUCUGGACCAUAAAACAAAUAUUAACAAGUUUAAAGAAUUAAAAGCAUACACAGAAUAGACAAUUUCAUAGAGACAGAGAAUAGGCUAGUGGUUACACGAGGUUGGGGGAAAUGGCAUGCUAUUGUUUAAUGGGUACAGAGCUUCUGGUGAUGAUGAAAAUGUUCUGGAAAUAGUGAUGAUGGUUACACAACAUUGUAAAUGUGCUUAAUGCAACUGAGUUGUGAACUUGAAAAUGGCAAAUUUUAUAUCAUGGUUAUUUAAAAAAAAGUCCACUGGGGAAAAAAAUCCAUAUAUAUAAUCUGUUAUCUCACCAGAGCAGGAUUAAACAAGAAAACAAUAGAACGAUAUCAGGAAAAUCCCCAAAUAUUUGGAAAUUGAACCACAUACUUCUAAAUAAACCAUGUGCCAAAGAGAAUUUUCAAGGAAAUUAGAAAAUAUUUUGAAUUGAAUAAAAAUAAAAACAAAUAAAUAAAAACACAUUUAAAAAAAUCAAAAUUUGUGGACUGCAGCCAAUACUUAAAGGAAAACUUACAAAACAGAAUGUAUAUAUUAGAAAAGAACAAGUGUGUAAAAGUAAUAGCCUAAGCUUUGAGCUUAAGAACCUAGAAAAAGGAUGAAAUAAAUGCAAGCAUGUAGAAAAAAUAAAAUAAUAAAUAUAGCAGUGGAAAUCAAUAAAAUUGAAAAUAAGGAAAUAAUAAAACAAUGAAAUAAAAAGCUAAUUCAUUGAAAAGACCAGUAAAAUGUAUAAACCUUUAGCCAAACUGAC
rnacentral:lncRNA from 10 species